CAAAAACAUGUCUAUUUGUAGAUAUAAAAAGUCUAGCCUGCUCACUGAUAUUAUUUUUAAGAGCCGCGGUAUUUCUGACUGUGCAAAGGUAGCAUAAUCGUUAGUUUUUUAAUUGAAAUCUUGUAUGAAUGGUUUGACAAAAAAAAGACUGUCUUUAAAUUAUUGAUUGAAUUUAACUUUUAAGUGAAAAGGCUUAAAUAAAUUAAAAAGACGAUAAGACCCUAUAAAGCUUUAUAUUGACUUAUUAUUUAAUAAAAUUUUUAAAUAUAAAUAUUUGGUAAUAAAUUUUAUUUUAUUGGGGUGAUAAUGGUAAAAUGAUUAAUAACUGUUAAUUUUAUUUAAACAAAAAUAAAUGGAUAAAAGGUUAAUAUUUGAUUAAAUGAUCCUAUUUAAAGAUUAAAAGUUUAAGUUACUUUAGGGAUAACAGCGUAAUUUUUUUUGAGAGUUCUUAUCGAGAAAAAAGUUUGCGACCUCGAUGUUGAAUUAAAAUAUCUAUAUAAUUGU
rnacentral:rRNA from 1 species